GGUACUGUGGCGGAGAGGCCUAACGCGUCAGACUUGAAUUAUUAGUUAUUAGCUCAUCUGAUUCCUUCGGGAGCCCAGGUUCGAAUCCUGGCAGUAUCG
rfam:Valsa mali var. pyri strain SXYL134 unplaced genomic scaffold scaffold00045, whole genome shotgun sequence.